rnacentral:lncRNA from 1 species
GCGAGUAUCUAUCAUUGAUAUCCUUCCUCUCUUCCUUCAAACAAACAACCCCACAAUAUCCAUGUUUUAGUCGAUCCUAUUUUAUGAAGCGUGAUUUUAAAAAUCUCUUGUCACAGCUUUCGAGUUCUAUUCAUCUAUCAAUAUUCAAUAUCCUACUCAUCUAUUAGUAUUCAAUAUCGAUCAUAUUUCUUUUAAAUUUCCUUGACAUCUCUUGUCAAAAAGCUACAAUAUCUCAUCCGAUCUCCUAAUAACACAUGUUACAUUCCAUGUUCUACUCAAAAGUGUGAUACACAUAAAAUUUUUAUUAGAUUUGGCUUCAAACUCCUUACUAAAUUUGGCUUCAAAAUAGUGAAAAUACUAGUUGAAUUUGAAUUCAAACUCUCAUCCUAAAAGGAUUUCUAGUGAAAAUCCAUGAAGAUAUACAGUGGAAAAAAUGGGAGAGAUGUAGAGUGAGUGAGCCGGUGGCAGACCACCGUUGAGAGAAUGAGAUACGAAAUGUGUAAUCUGUAAAUCUUUCUCAGAAUAUAGUGAAUUUGUUGC